rnacentral:rRNA from 1 species
UACGGGGGGGGCAAGCGUUGUUCGGAAUUACUGGGCGUAAAGGGCCAGUAGGCGGCCAACUAAGUCCGACGUGAAAUCCCAAGGCUUAACCUUGGAACUGCGUCGGAUACUGGAUGGCUUGAAUUCGGGAGAGGGAUGCAGAAUUCCAGGUGUAGCGGUGAAAUGCGUAGAUAUCGGGAGGAACACCAGUGGCGAAGGCGACUACCUGGCCUGUUCUUGACGCUGAGGCGCGAAAGCUAGGGGAGCAAACGGG